UGUGGGAGCGAGAUAGGGACUUACUGUGAUUUUUAUCAAAUGCCUUUUUUCGAUUUUAACCAAAACGAAAAAUGUAUUGACAAGUCAGUCUUUUUCUCUCUCCUAUA
rnacentral:pre_miRNA from 1 species